rnacentral:lncRNA from 1 species
ACAAAAUGAGCUAGUGUAUUUUAUUUUGGGUAACAGCCAAGAAAUCUGACAUUUUGUCCAAUAUGGCUUUCUUCUAAAAUUAAAAAGUUGCAUAUACCUCCCGUUGAGUCCACCAGCUACAGAAAUUCUGUUGUAUACAUCUUUAAUCCAUGGCAGCAUCACCAGAGUACAGCUUUCAGUGGCGUUUUCAAGCUGAAUUAGAAGAUAAAGUUUUAAAAUAAUAAGUUUUAAAAUGUUCAUUUAGAAGAUUUUAUAUUGUUUAUAUGAAAACAUACAAAUUUUUCAUUUAUACAUAUACUACAUAUAAAACUCCUUGUAAUUAGCAAGUAUCUUCAUCUGGGUAUUUACCUUUGUGCAUAUAGCGAAAAAAGGAUGUAGUUAGGGCUUCAGAUGAAAUAUUAAAGUUCAGACCUUUGUAUAUGCUAACUAAAAGCUUAUUCAAAUAACUUGAACGUUUUCCCCUGCUUUUAAAAGAUAAAGAGAUUCAGCUUAAAAAUACAUUCAUAAAACAAAGAGACAUUUUUCUCCCUGAGACUACCAGUGUGAGUUACUUUGUGGUAAUCUUUGAAUGAAAAAAUUAUGUAAAAAAAGACAGUAAGUUCUAGUUUUGUUCUAGUUCUAGUUUUGCCCAUUUCUUGAGCAAAGCUGGCAUCAUAAAAGGUGUAGACUGGAGAAUCAUGCUCACUAGCUGAAAAAAACAUUGCCAUAUAUCAGUUUCAGUAGAAGAAAAACUUUAAUAUAGACAAGGGAAGGUAAUUAAGUUUUAAUGAAAGAUCUGUGGUAUGUAUAAAUGGGAAAAAGUUGGGUGUGUGUGUGUUUGGUUUGGGGUUGUUUUCCCUUUCAUUUCAGACAUGAGUUUUAUCCAAAGCAGGACUACCUGCUACAGAUUCUCUACAAAGAAGAGACAGAUUCUCUAUCUGCAUGUAGAUUCUCAGUUUAUAGAGAUACUUAGUAUAGUAUUCUAAAUGUUUCAGGCAUUUGUUUUUGUUAAUAUUCAUAAAAGAAAUACGUAACUUGUAGGAACGGUUUCUGCUUAAAUUUAACGAUAACAUGUUUGAUUAUAACUAGAUGGCAAAGUUUCAUGAGCAGCAAAUGAGUCAACCUCCCCGCCCCAAUGAACAGCUCCUGCUUUGUGGCUGUCUUCAUCCUCUCCUCAAAAUCCC